CGCGACCCCAGGUCAGGCGGGAUUACCCGCUGAAUUU
rnacentral:rRNA from 1 species